UACGAAGGGGGGCUAGCGUUGCUCGGAAUGACUGGGCGUAAAGGGCGCGUAGGCGGCUUGCACCGUCAGAUGUGAAAUUCCUGGGCUUAACCUGGGGGCUGCAUUUGAUACGUGUGGGCUUGAGUGCGGAAGAGGGUCGUGGAAUUCCCAGUGUAGAGGUGAAAUUCGUAGAUAUUGGGAAGAACACCGGUGGCGAAGGCGGCGACCUGGUCCGUGACUGACGCUGAGGCGCGAAAGCGUGGGAGCAAACAGG
rnacentral:rRNA from 1 species